rnacentral:rRNA from 1 species
UACUACAAGCGCUAGCUUAAAACCCAAAGGACUUGGCGGUAUCCCACACCCACCUAGAGGAGCCUGUUCUAUAACCGAUAAUCCCCGUUAAACCUCACCACCUCUUGCCAUUACCGUCUAUAUACCGCCGUCGUCAGCUCACCCUAUGAAGGACAAAAAGUAAGCAAAAUGAAUAAAACUCCAAAACGUCAGGUCGAGGUGUAGCAAAUGAAGUGGAAAGAAAUGGGCUACAUUUUUUUACAAAAACAUACGAACGGUAAACUGAAAAACACCUAAAGGUGGAUUUAGCAGUAAGAAGAGAUCAGAGUACUCUUCUGAAAUUGGCCCUGGGAUAAGCACACACCGCCCGUCACUCUCCUUAAUAAAUAAUCUACUUUUCUAUAAAUAUACUUUCUUAAUAAGAGGAGGCAAGUCGUAACAUGGUAAGUGUACUGGAAAGUGCACUUGGAAUCAAAA